AUGGAAGCAAUCCAGCCCUCGCUCUCUCAACCCAAAUUCCAACCCAACCUCUCUCCGCUUCCUCCAACACCCCACGGCUCUCCAGCGCCCACUCGUCUCCGUGACCAGAAGACUCGCCCUGACGUCCUCGCUCUCUUCCCUGGUCUUCUUUUCCUCAUAUACAAUCCUUCGACCCCGAGCCUGCCUUUGAAUUCGGGUUCGUCAAGCCUGGCCAGACCGUCGAGGACGCCGUGGGGCGCGGUCCGGGGCCAUGCGCGGUCGCUCCUGGCGGUGAAGCCCCUGCUGGAGUCGGGGUCGUGGGAGGAUGCGCAGAGGGGAGAUGCGCGAGAGCUCGGCCCUCCUGGUAGCAGGACGUCUACACGAUCAUCCAGAGCAGGCCCGGGGGCGAGAGGCCGAGACUGAGGAAGCUGUACGCGGAACUCUUCAAUGGCGUCUCGAAGCUGGACUACGCUGCGAGGGAUCGGGACGGGCCGCGAGUGCGGCAGUGCUACGAGAAGAUCAGCGCCGCUCUUAAGGAGAUUCUGAGUUUGAUAUGAAGUGGAUUUAUAGCAGAAUUAUCGUAAACUAGAAAAGUCUGCCCCCAUUAAAUCUCUAAAAUGGAUGUUUCAUUGCUGUUGUAUGUAAUGUAGCUGUAAGGCAUUACAAGUGGUGCAUAAUUAGGUUGAUCAAUGCUUACAAAUGGUGCAUAGUUAGGUCGAUCAA